rnacentral:tRNA from 1 species
GAGGGUAUCGCUCAGUGGUAGAGCAUAUGCUUAGCAUACAUGAGGUCCUGGGUUCAAUCCCCAGUACCUCCA